AUGCAGCGAAAGCUAUGCCCAUAGUGGAUAAAAUUUUAGCAAAAUGAAAUAGAAAAGCAGGAAGCAAAACAAGAUUUUUUUACGAAAGCUGGUUUCCCAGCCAUCCGAUGAACCUUUUCUUUCUUACAAUAGAAAAGGAUUUUAUAGCAUCAAUGCCAUGGUGGUGUGCGAUCACAAAUUACGAAUAAGAAGCAUUGACGCUAGGUAUCCUGGGUGCAAUCACGACGCUCAUGCAUGGGGAUUGAGCAAGCUGAGGUGCUAUAUGGAACGACGAUAUCGUGAAGGUGAAAGGAACGCAUGGCUGUUAGGUAUUUAGGUAUAUAUGCAGCCGACAAAGUAAUUAUAACAUAAAGCACUCCAAAACUAGAAAUAAUAUAGAGCGAACGAUCGGUGUUUUAAAGAACCGCUUUCGAUGUUUGUUGGGAGCUCGAGAGCUGCGAGUCAAAUUAUACAUAUAUGUUGCUUGUGCACUACACAAUAUUUGCAUUUUCUACAAAGUGGAAGAUUUGAACCCGAUAGAAUUUGAUAAUGAAAGCCGUCAAGAGGAAGAGGAAGAGGAACAAACCAAUGACCCUGAAUUUACUUCAACAGCAAAUCGUAUUCGUGACAACAUACUUUCUUCUUUUUCAAAUGUAUAAAAUUUUAUUUCAAUAUUUCAUGUUUUUCUUUAAAUUCAAAAUUUAUCUAUGUUAAUCUGAUAUAUAAAAAUAAGUCGGGUUUUCCUUCCUGACGCUGCAACUCCAGAACGCAUUAACCGAUUUCCACGGUUUUGCAUUCGUUGGAAAGUUCUCGGGCUCCGUGAGGUUUAUUGC